UACAGAGGUCUCAAGCGUUGUUCGGAUUCAUUGGGCGUAAAGGGUGCGUAGGCGGCGCGGUAAGUCGGGUGUGAAAUCUCGGGCUUAACUCCGAAACUGCAUUCGAUACUGCCGUGCUUGAGGACUGGAGAGGAGACUGGAAUUCAUGGUGUAGCAGUGAAAUGCGUAGAGAUCAUGAGGAAGACCAGUGGCGAAGGCGGGUCUCUGGACAGUUCCUGACGCUGAGGCACGAAGGCCAGGGGGAGCAAACGGG
rnacentral:rRNA from 1 species